rnacentral:misc_RNA from 1 species
GUCAAGGCCAAGGCGCCGAUGCAGACCAUCGCGCAAUACGACGAGGAAGUCGUCAAGGGUCUCAAGCUGCCGACGGUGAGUUCGCGCCCGCUUAACAGCGUGGUGCAGACCAUUUCCGAGUAACGGAAAACGCCCACUUGCGGUUGUCCGGGAAAUGGCUAAACCGCACGCAUGCGCAUUGAAGGCUAUGUGAUCGUUUCCGCCGACGGCAUGCUCGCCGAUGUGCACGGCGUCAUGCCUGCUUCGCUGAAGUUCGACGCCGAUCAGAAGUUCUUUGACACUGCGCUGGACGCCGCCGACCUGAUCGUUCACGGCAAAUACUCUUUC